UCCCCGUUACCGGGGCAGUCUAGCUAGAGAAAUUCAACUAACUAUAAGGGUUGCGCUCGUUAAUGGACUUAACCAAACAUCUCACGACACGAGCUGACGACGGCCAUGCAACACCUGUCACUGCGUUCAAUAAAGCACGUUCACCUUUCGGCAAACUUCGCAGGAUGUCAAACCCUGGUAAGGUUCUUCGCUUACCUUCGAAUUAAAGAACACGCUCCACCGCUUGUGCGGGUCCCCGUCAAUUCCUUUAUGUUUUAAGCUUGCGCUCGUACUCCACAGGCGGGAUGCUUAACGCGUUAGCUUCGCUACUACCAGGGUCGAUACUGAUAACAGCUAGCAUCCAUCGUUUACGGCGUGGACUAC
rnacentral:misc_RNA from 1 species